rnacentral:rRNA from 1 species
UACGAAGGGGGCUAGCGUUGCUCGGAAUUACUGGGCGUAAAGGGCGCGUAGGCGGAUAUUUAAGUUGGGGGUGAAAGCCCGGGGCUCAACCUCGGAAUUGCCUUCAAUACUGGAUAUCUUGAGUUCGGGAGAGGUGAGUGGAAUGCCGAGUGUAGAGGUGAAAUUCGUAGAUAUUCGGCGGAACACCAGUGGCGAAGGCGACUCACUGGCCCGAUACUGACGCUGAGGCGCGAAAGCGUGGGGAGCAAACAGG